CAGUAGCCGCGGGAAUACGGAGGGUGCAAGCGUUAAUCGGAAUUACUGGGCGUAAAGCGCACGCAGGCGGUUUGUUAAGUCAGAUGUGAAAUCCCCGAGCUUAACUUGGGAACUGCAUUUGAAACUGGCAAGCUAGAGUCUUGUAGAGGGGGGUAGAAUUCCAGGUGUAGCGGUGAAAUGCGUAGAGAUCUGGAGGAAUACCGGUGGCGAAGGCGGCCCCCUGGACAAAGACUGACGCUCAGGUGCGAAAGCGUGGGGAGCAAACAGGAUUAGAUACCCGGGUAGUCCCUGUCUCUUAUAC
rnacentral:rRNA from 1 species